rnacentral:tRNA from 1 species
GACCGCGUAGCUCAGUUGGCACAGCGUUGGGCUAGUAUUCCAAAAGUCGUAUGUUCGAUUCACCCCGUGGCCA